UCCCCUGUGGCUUAGUUGGCUAAAGCGUCCGACUGUUAAUCGGGAGAUCGGAAGUUCGAGCCUUCCCGGGGGAG